rnacentral:rRNA from 1 species
CCGGCGCGACGCGGUAUACGUACUGAUCCAGCAGCGCCGGUUGUAGUGACGAAGGCCUCCGCGGUUGUAAAGCACUUUCAGUAGGGAAGAAAAGCCUAAGGUUAAUACCCGUGAGUCUUGACGUAACCUACAGAAGAAGCACCGGCUAACUCCGUGCCAGCAGCCGCGGUAAUACGUACGUGCCAGCAGCCGCGGUAAUACUUACGUGCCAGCAGCCGCGGUAUAAUAUAUCUGUUAGCAACCGCGGUAAUAUUUUCUUUUGGGCAGCAGCGGGAGUUUGUGUGUUUGGUCUGUUCCGGCGUGGUAUUAUGGUUUGGGUA